ensembl:lncRNA novel transcript
UGAGGCUGGACACAGAUGCCCUUCGGGCAGGGUGGAGGGCUCUUGGCUCUAGCUGUCCCCUGAACUGACCUGGGUGUCACAAACAUGUGGCUGCUGAGCUGGGCUUAUAAGAGCCAUGUGGCUGAAGGGAUAAGGGGGCACUUCCCACUCUCUCAGGCCCCAGGGAAGGAGAGAAACUGCUGAGCGGCAGGCCCCGGUAACCAGUAACCAAUCUCCAGACACUGUCACCGCUCAGCCACAAAGCUUUGUCCACCCAGCCAGGAUGAUGUCUGGAUACCAGGCGAGCCAUUCCAACACUCACGGCCGCUUGGGCCAUCCCAACAACACAUCCUUUCCAGCCCAAAUUCCAGGCUGGACCAAACGCACCCUCCUGAAUGAGGCCAAGAGCCUCAAGCGCCUCCACACCCGGAGUGGCUCUGGCUUGGAGUCCAGCAGCUGCAGCAGCUGCUCUGAGCAGCCCUUCAACCCCACUAGGCUUCCACUGGGGAGAAUCUGCAUGGGCCGGCCCUGCUACUCCAAGUAGGUAGAAACAAGUCACCUGGUGAACCCCAAGGUGGCCAGAAAGACCGCUUUCCAGGGCAGCCCCUGCUGCCUGCUCUGUAAGGAUUGUCCCUCGGACUCCUCCAGCCCCACUCCUCCAGCUCAUCAAAGGCAUCAACUACCUGGACCAAUCCACCAAUGCCUAUAACAGCUGCCACAAGACAUUGCAGAGCCUGCCAAAGCUUGCAGCCAACUACCUGGAAAGGGCUGCCAGCUCCCUCAACCUAGACCACCAGGACCACCCCUUGCCCCAGAGUUACUCCAGCCCCAGCACCAGCGUGACCAUCCCAAACAACUCCACCACCAGCACCUGCAUGGUGCUGUCCCUCAGGGGUGCCAGUGCCCUGCAGUGCCUGGAUGACUCCACCAACACGAGUUAUCCGUGCAGGUCUCAUUGCCAGAACUUCACUAUCGCGCUGCCACGGGGUCCACGUACAAAGCUGCCUGAGCUCCCUUUGCUUAGCAAUGGGCUCUUUGCCUUAGGUUGUCUGCCCAAGGUCUGGGAAGCAAUCUGCUCAGGCUGGAGUGACCCUGAGCCCAUCUCCAAACCCCCAAGCUGGUGGUGACACUGACGCCAACUGUGAAACGUGCACAUGCCCCUCAGGCCACAGUUGUGGAAAAU